rnacentral:rRNA from 1 species
CAGUCGCCACGGUAAUACGAAUGGGGCUAGCGUUGUUCGGAUUUACUGGGCGUAAAGGGCGCGUAGGCGGACUGAUAAGUCAGGGGUGAAAUCCCAAGGCUCAACCUUGGAACUGCCUUUGAUACUGUUUGUCUUGAGUUCGAGAGAGGUAAGUGGAACUGCGAGUGUAGAGGUGAAAUUCGUAGAUAUUCGCAAGAACACCAGUGGCGAAGGCGGCUUACUGGCUCGAUACUGACGCUGAGGCGCGAAAGCGUGGGGAGCAAACAGGAUUAGAUACCCCUGUAGUCCCUGUCUCUUAUAC